AGAGUUUGAUCAUGGCUCAGGAUGAACGCUAGCGGCAGGCUUAACACAUGCAAGUCGAGGGGUAACAGGAGAUAGUUUACUAUUUUGCUGACGACCGGCGCACGGGUGAGUAACGCGUAUACAAUUUACCUUUUACAGGAGAAUAGCCCAGAGAAAUUUGGAUUAAUGCUCCAUGGUAUUAUGAAACGGCAUCGUUUUAUGAUUAAAGAUUUAUCGGUAAGAGAUGAGUAUGCGUCCUAUUAGUUAGUUGGUGAGGUAACGGCUCACCAAGACGACGAUAGGUAGGGGUCCUGAGAGGGAGAUCCCCCACACUGGUACUGAGACACGGACCAGACUCCUACGGGAGGCAGCAGUGAGGAAUAUUGGGCAAUGGAGGCAACUCUGACCCAGCCAUGCCGCGUGCAGGAAGACUGCCCUAUGGGUUGUAAACUGCUUUUAUAGAGGAAGAAACCUAUCCACGUGUGGAUGGCUGACGGUACUCUACGAAUAACCCCUGGCUAACUCCGUGCCAGCAGCCGCGGUAAUACGGAGGGU
rnacentral:rRNA from 1 species